rnacentral:lncRNA from 1 species
CCUCAUGGCACCAAUGGUGGUGGACCUCAUUCUCGGUGCCCCCCCAAAAAAGCCUGAGGCCAUGGAGUUCCAGGUAAGAGACUGUGUCAGGGAGCACCAAAUCCCAAUCUGACCCUUGAAGUGCUCCCAGUCCCACAUAGAGCCCCAAACUCUGUCCAUGGGGACCCCAGGGGACUCCCCACCCUCUCAUGCUUUGCCCUAAUGUUAAGCACACCCUCAAACCCAGCCCACGAGGAACUCCAAAUCCGCAUCGUGGAGGCACCCUGGACCCAGAUCUGAGCCCCUUGAUCCCCCUGACCCCUCUGAUCCUUAAACACCCCUCAGACCCCAUGGGCACAUUCACGCCAUGUAGUAGGAACCCCAA